GGAUAACUGUGAUAAUUCUAGAGCUAAUACACGCAAUAAAGCUCGGACCUUUCGGGACGAGCGCAUUUAUUAGACCAAAACCAAUCGGGCUUCGGCCUGAACUGUGGUGACUCUGAAUAACUAAGCUGAUCGCAUGGUCUUUGUACCGGCGACGCAUCUUUCAAGUGUCUGCCUUAUCAACUUUCGAUGGUAGUUUAUGCGCCUACCAUGGUUGUAACGGGUAACGGAGAAUAAGGGUUCGACUCCGGAGAGGGAGCCUGAGAAACGGCUACCACAUCCAAGGAAGGCAGCAGGCGCGCGGAUUACCCACUAACGGCACGAGGAGGUAGUGACGAAAAAUAANGACCCUAAAAGGGGUGGGGCCCGCANNNG
rnacentral:rRNA from 1 species